GCUAGUUGUUCAUAGCCGCACAUAUAUCCGAUUUCUACGGAAGGUCCACUCGAAGCCUCGAUCUGAUCGGUCUUCUCGAGAAUGCUAGUUCGUGCGAAGACCUUCUCGUUGGCUGAUCUGGAUUCUUUUUUCAAAUCUCUCGAACCAUUUUAGAGGUUGAAAAAAGAUAUCUGGAGGAGAUGAAGAGGUGGAAGAAACAUAGAGAAAAGAUACUUUUCUCUUUUUUUUCUCUUCCC
rnacentral:lncRNA from 1 species